CGGCGUGCCUAAUACAUGCAAGUCGAGCGAACGGACGAGAAGCUUGCUUCUCUGAUGUUAGCGGCGGACGGGUGAGUAACACGUGGAUAACCUACCUAUAAGACUGGGAUAACUUCGGGAAACCGGAGCUAAUACCGGAUAAUAUUUUGAACCGCAUGGUUCAAAAGUGAAAGACGGUCUUGCUGUCGCUUAUAGAUGGAUCCGCGCUGCAUUAGCUAGUUGGUAAGGUAACGGCUUACCAAGGCAACGAUGCAUAGCCGACCUGAGAGGGUGAUCGGCCACACUGGAACUGAGACACGGUCCAGACUCCUACGGGAGGCAGCAGUAGGGAAUCUUCCGCAAUGGGCGAAAGCCUGACGGAGCAACGCCGCGUGAGUGAUGAGGGUCUUCGGAUCGUAAAACUCUGUUAUUAGGGAAGAACAUAUGUGUAAGUAACUGUGCACAUCUUGACGGUACCUAAUCAGAAAGCCACGGCUGACUACGUGCCAGCAGCCGCGGUAAUACGUAGGUGGCAAGCGUUAUCCGGAAUUAUUGGGCGUAAAGCGCGCGUAGGCGGUUUUUUAAGUCUGAUGUGAAAGCCCACGGCUCAACCGUGGAGGGUCAUUGGAAACUGGAAAACUUGAGUGCAGAAGAGGAAAGUGGAAUUCCAUGUGUAGCGGUGAAAUGCGCAGAGAUAUGGAGGAACACCAGUGGCGAAGGCGACUUUCUGGUCUGUAACUGACGCUGAUGUGCGAAAGCG
rnacentral:rRNA from 1 species